rnacentral:rRNA from 1 species
AGUUGUACGAGUUCAGACUCGUAGCAGAUAGCUCAGUAACACGUGGCCAAACUACCCUAUAGAUCCAGACAACCUCGGGAAACUGAGGCUAAUCUGGAAUAGGGCUCUCAUCCUGGAGUGGAGAGAGCCUGAAACGCUCCGGCGCUAUAGGAUGUGGCUGCGGCCGAUUAGGUAGACGGUGGGGUAACGGCCCACCGUGCCAGUAAUCGGUACGGGUUGUGAGAGCAAGAGCCCGGAGACGGUAUCUGAGACAAGAUACCGGGCCCUACGGGGCGCAGCAGGCGCGAAACCUUUACACUGCACGCCAGUGCGAUAAGGGGACUCCAAGUGCGAGGGCAUAUAGUCCUCGCUUUUUGCGACCGUAAGGUGGUCGCGGAAUAAGUGCUGGGCAAGACCGGUGCCAGCCGCCGCGGUAAUACCGGCAGCACGAGUGAUGACCGCUGUUAUUGGGCCUAAAGCGUCCGUAGCUGGCCGCGCAAGUCUAUCGGGAAAUCUCUCCGCUUAACGGAGAGGCGUCCGGUGGAAACUGUGUGGCUUGGGACCGGAAGACCAGAGGGGUACGUCUGGGGUAGGAGUGAAAUCCCGUAAUCCUGGACGGACCACCGGUGGCGAAAGCGCCUCUGGAAGACGGAUCCGACGGUGAGGGACGAAAGCUCGGGUCACGAACCGGAUUAGAUACCCGGGUAGUCCGAGCUGUAAACGAUGUCUGCUAGGUGUGACACAGGCUACGAGCCUGUGUUGUGCCGUAGGGAAGCCGUGAAGCAGACCGCCUGGGAAGUACGUCC